rnacentral:lncRNA from 1 species
CGCGGAUCAACUGCUAGUAUAAAAUAUAAAACAUAAAACUAAGGAAAGUGUUAAAAAUGAAAGAGGAAAAAAAAAGAGAAAGAGAAAAAGGAAAAGGAAAAAAGAGAACAUUGAUCGACGUUCAUCUCUCUCUCUUUUUCUUUCUUUGAGUUUAAUUUAAUGUUCAUCUCUUUAAGCUGUAUGAUUUUUCAUUGGUUUCAUCUUUUAGCCAUAAAAGAACAACUUUUUACAUUGUAUGGAAAAAAGAUAAUCUUUUGUAAAAAAAAAAUUAUAUUUUAAAGAGAUAUCUUUUUUGAAUUUAGCUUUACCGAAAAUGUAAAUUUUCUUGUUUUUUUUUUUUUUUUUCUUCUUCUCAAUUUACCAAAUAUCUUAUAAAAAACAUGGGACAUUCACUACAUGGACGAACAAUGUCAAUGUUCUGCUAAAGCCAAUUCACAUUUGUCCAUCACGAUGCACUCUAACUUUCCUUUUCUCUCUAAUGAUCCAAUCAAAUAUAUAUAGUCUUAAUUUGCUGAAUUCUUCUCUUUUGUUUGAUUAGAAAAAAUAUGUUUGUUGACACAAAAGUUUAAGUAACUUUAAUAAAGAAGUUGAUUAUGUAUAGAAAUAAUUCUAGCCUUCUAGGUUAUAAAAGUAAAAAAAAAAUAAAAAAAAAUAAUGAUC